rnacentral:tRNA from 2 species
GGGCCGUUAGCUCAGCUGGUAGAGCAGUUGACUCUUAAUCAAUUGGCCUGGGGUUCGAAUCCCUAACGGCCCACCA